UAAAGAUCAACGUACCUAAAUCAAACUUAGAAACUAGAAAAAUAUAGAAAAGUAUAUUUGAAACCAACAGUCGAAUCCAAGAUACCUAAAUCAGAAUUAAUGUCUAAUAACAUGAUAUUGAACCAUUUCCGGCAUCCAGAUUUCCAAAGCCUUCUCUUUAUCCAAAGUGUUUCAUAGUUCCAAGGAAUCUCAGGGACUCUCGGCAUUGCUUACACCAAGGAUUCCAUUAGAAUUUGAACAGUGCAGUAUGGAGAGCCAACUCUCAGGCAUCAAGAUCAGAGGGAGAUCAAGGGUCCCAAAGCAUGGCUUGCAAACUUAAUAGCUAAGAGUAAGUACAAAAUGAAAGGGGAAUUGAGGAGCCAUGACAAGUGGUGGUCAUGCCUAUCCACAAAGUAGGAUGGCACGCCCGUGACCACUUGUUUGGUUAAACAAAUUAGGAGCAUAUCCCUGAAGGUCAUACCAAGGUCUGGAUAGUGACUAGGACACUAUCAGAUCCAAGUCCAAGGCUCAAACACAAAAGGGGAGAAAGGGAGUGGGAACUGAUUGAGUUAGGGAUUAAAAGAACCCAGUUCAGAAUCAUAAACAACAAUAUUAGAGUGUUGUUAUGCCUUGAACCAUAACUUGCAUAUAAAAGGGUAAAGGGUAAGGGAAUUCACAUAAGAACAAUAAUGACAAAGUUACAGAAGAACAGUCAAGAAAAGCAUAACGUAACUAGAAUGUAAAACACAUAGUGGAGGAGCAAUAUUAAAAUAAGAUGGACAUACCAGUUGCAAAGUAACAGAAAGAGAAUAACAGAGUAACCACAACAAGUAAAUAGCAGAAACAACUCAGGUUUUCAGCAGAACACUCGAACUUAAAGGUAUUUCAGAAAGCAAAAAGGAGAAGUACACAGAACUAGUCUGUGUAUUCGAGAGAAGAAGAGAGUGGAAAAUAAGUUGCCAAUUGCUUGAUUGUUAUUUCCUUUUCUUGUUUAUUACUUUCUUUUUGAAAAGGGGGAGGGCUACGCCCUUCAUAUUGUUUUUUUGAAAAACAAGUGAGGCGGGAAAGAGGGUACAAACAUAGAAACUGAUCAAAUUAGUAUCAAUUAGGGUAAUCAGACCCAUUUAAUUAAGGUUCUAAUUCAAACGACUAAGAAGGAAGAGAGAAUCAGUUUAUUAGGGCUAAUUUAAGGUAAAGAAACCAUAUAGUACACAAACAAUGUCACAUAGACAAUUGGUAUUUAAGAAAAGACGUCACAGUAGGUAUAACUUUGAAAAAUCAAUCGAAGAAUCUCGGAUGCAGUUGCAAAUCACAAAGAAACUACGAUAAUUAAGGAAGUAAAUAAUUCAGACAUUGGUACAAAAUUACAAAAGAUACAUGAUCAAUUAUUUAAGGAAAACAUCAGUAGGUAAAAGAGGUUCAAUCAAGUGAAAAUCAAUGACGAAUUUCCUAGCCUAAUUAAAGGGAUUUCAAAAAUAAACUUUGAAAGGGAAGCUUAUAUAUAAAGCACACAGUUCAAACCAAAGAAGAACAAUGAGAGUUUUCAUAAUCACAUACAAAUAGAGUUUUGAGUUCGAUUACAGGCUUGUUGUGAGUUUGUAAACCUAGGGUUUCAAAGUGAAACCCUAGUGUCUUUUAAUCAAAGAAAACCCCCAAAAUUAUAGGGUUUCCUCACAGAAACGAGAAGGCAAGUGAACAGACUCGAGGAGUGUUAUGAGAGUCAGGCAAAUACAAUAGCAGGCUUGAAACAGUCAAAGAAAGAAAACCAUUUUAAGCCAUGAAGAACAUGCUCAGACAAUUUCAAAAGUUAAGAAAAGACGAAACAUGCUUAACAAGCACACGACCAUAGUCAAGAAACUCAGUAGUAAAUACACACAUGAGGAAAGUUUAACACAGAUUAAUCAUGUGAGCACACAUAUAAAGAAAAGAAGGACAAUACAUGGAUUAUAGAGAAAGAAAACAUACAAGCAUGAUACAGAAAAGAUCAACACGAAUCAAAAGACUUUCAGAAACCCCAGCUUUGAAAUCAAAUGAUUUUUAAAAAGGAAAAUUCGGGAAAAUACUUAAAACGUCAAAUAUAGCAUAGAUUCACCACAGAUCUAGGCAAAUAAAUGAAGAAAGAAGCUUGAAUAGGCUAGGGUUGCAGAGAACCUUAAAGGAUGAGAAGGCUUGGAAGUCUCGAGAUUGGUUCUGAGCUGAUAAGGUCGACUCCAUGCUCGAGCUGAGAGAUGACGGAGAAAAGUAUGAAACGACCAAAUAAACUCGAAUCGGCCAAGGUCUGGAUGAAUACCUUUGAGGUCUAGCCUUGAAUCUUCAGCGAACAGACGUAUAGGAGCAAGAGAUGGUGGGUAGAGGUUGUCCAUGGCUAGAUUAGCCAUGGAUUCCAGUGAUUUGAGGUAAAAACGGGAGGUAGGCGGCUAUUAGGGUUUCAGAAGUUGAGAGGAUUUGAGAGAGACGAGAGGAACUAGAGGUGACAGAUUUGGAGAAAAGGGGUAGGAUUAGGGUCGUUUGGGACUAAAAAAGGAA
rnacentral:lncRNA from 1 species